CCUAAUAUCUAAAGUGACCGUUUAGGUUUUUGUGCGUUCUUUCUCUCCUCACAUAACCUCACAUAACCUUAUUAUGGAUACAACAGUCAAAGAUUUAUUAAAAAAGUGGGAGUUUCCUGAUCUCAUACAACUGUUUGAGGGUUGACAAUGUUAAAAUAAUUGUUGAUAAGGAAAAGGGACUUGUUCAGUCAGAUGAAGAGGAACAUAUCAAGCAGAAAGAAAACAAACAUAUGGAAAUUGAAGUGUGCGAAAUUGAUGAUUUUCAGCUUGCCAAUGCUGUUCGUCAUCUGAGUUUUGCUGAUUUUGAACGUGAUAUUGAACGUCAAGGAAAGGAGCAGCUGCGUUAAAUUUGACUCUGCAACCAUUUAUUAUUUUCGUAGGAUGUGACGCUAGCUCAGUUAACGUAUACUACGUUUGCAUCGAUAAAACAUUAUACAAAAUUGAAAGUGCUCUUAAAGCUGUCGACGUAUGCUACAAGUGCUUUUUUGUUUGCAUGCGUGCUAUUGCGUGCUAUCCUAAAGAAUCUCAACAAAUAUGGCUUCUGAUACAAAAAUUAUAUAAUAUAAUAUGACAACUGAGCACGAUGUAUGCAAUAGCAAAGUUACACAUCUAUCAAAAUGACUUUAAGGAAGAUGUAAAGAGAUUAUUUCUUUAUUAUUUUUUAAAAAUAUUUUUAUUUUACGAUAAUGAUUGAUUGAAACAGCCGACUAAAACAGCCGACUAUAAAAUUACUUUUAUAUAUAGAUACGUUUUCCUUCGC